GCUUACGGCCAUAUUACCCUGAGAACGCCCGAUCUCGUCCGAUCUCGGAAGCUAAGCAGGGUCGGGCCUGGUUAGUACUUGGAUGGGAGACCGCCUGGGAAUACCAGGUGCUGUAAGCU
rnacentral:rRNA from 1 species